GACGAACGCUGGCGGCGCGCUUAACACAUGCAAGUCGAGCGAGAACCAGACCUUCGGGUCUGGGGACAGCGGCGAACGGGUGAGUAACACGUGGGUAAUCAACCCUCGGUACUGGGAUAGCCCGGGGAAACCCGGAUUAAUACCGGAUGGCCCUUCGGAUCUUCGGUUCUGAAGGAAAAGGUAGCUUCGGCCUCCGACCGAGGACGAGCCCGCGGCGGAUUAGCUUGUUAGUGGGGUAACGGCCUACCAAGGCGGCGAUCCGUAGCUGGUCUGAGAGGACGAUCAGCCACACUGGGACUGAGACACGGCCCAGACUCCUACGGGAGGCAGCAGUGGGGAAUCUUGCGCUAAUGCGGGAAACCGUGACGCAGCGACGCCGCGUGAGGGAAGAAGGCCUUCGGGUUGUAAACCUCUUUCAGGAGGGACGAAGCUACUCGGGUUAAUAGCCCAGAGGGUGACGGUACCUCCAGAAGAAGCCUCGGCUAACUACGUGCCAGCCGCCGCGGUAAUAC
rnacentral:rRNA from 1 species